CCUACGGGCGGCAGCAGUGAGGAAUAUUGGUCAAUGGGCGAGAGCCUGAACCAGCCAAGUCGCGUGAGGGAGUACUGCCCUAUGGGUUGUAAACCUCUUUUGUCGGGGAGCAAAAGCCGGACGUGUCAGGCUGUGAGAGUACCCGAAGAGAAAGCAUCGGCUAACACCGUGCGAGCAGCCGCGGUAAUACGCAGGAUGCGAGCGUUAUCCGGAUUUAUUGGGUUUAAAGGGUGCGCAGGCGGAAUUUUAAGUCAGCGGUAAAAUCGGGGGGCUCAACCCCAUCCAGCCGUUGAAACUGGGGAUCUAGAGUGUGCGAGAGGUAUGCGGAAUGCGUGGUGUAGCGGUGAAAUGCAUAGAUAUCACGCAGAACCCCGAUUGCGAAGGCAGCAUACCGGUGCACAACUGACGCUCAGGCACGAAAGCGUGGGUAUCGAACAGGAUUAGAUACCCCGGUAGUC
rnacentral:rRNA from 1 species